rnacentral:rRNA from 1 species
AACGAACGCUGGCGGCGUGGAUCAGGCAUGCAAGUCGAACGAGAAAGUUCCUUCGGGGACUAGUAAAGUGGCAAAAGGGGUAGUAAUACAUAGAUAACGUACCUUUCAGUCUGGGGCAACUAUCGGAAACGAUAGCUAAUACCGGAUACGUUCCUGAAUGCAAAGUGUUCAGGAGGAAAGUGGGGGAUUUUAGGACCUCACACUGAUUGAGCGGUCUAUGUCGUAUUAGCUUGUUGGUGGGGUAAUGGCCUACCAAGGCUUAGAUGCGUAGGGGACCUGAGAGGGUGACCCCCACCACCGGAACUGAGACACUGUCCGGACACCUACGGGUGGCUGCAGUCGAGAAUCUUCCGCAAUGGACGAAAGUCUGACGGAGCGACGCCGCGUGAAGGAUGAAGGCCUUAGGGUUGUAAACUUCUGUCAAGUGUUAUGAAUAAUCGUACUCUAAUACAGUACGAGAUGACAAAGGCACUAGAGGAAGCCACGGCUAAAUAUGUGCCAGCAGCCGCGGUAAUACAUAUGUGGCGAGCGUUGUUCGGAAUUACUGGGCAUAAAGAGUUCGUAGGCGGUUUAGUUAGUCGAAUGUGAAAUCCCACAGCUUACCUGUGGAACUGCAUUCGAUACUACUAAGCUGGAGUCCUUGAGGGGAAAGUGGAAUUCCAGGUGUAGCGGUGAAAUGCGUAGAUAUCUGGGAGAAGGCCUAAGGCGAAGGCAGCUUUCUGGCGAGUGACUGACGCUGAGGAACGAAAGUUAGGGUAUCGAACGGGAUUAGAUACCCCGGUAGUCCUAACCGUAAACGGUGAGCACUUGGUGAUGGUGGUUUCUGAGCUAUCAUUGCCGUAGCUAAUGCAUUAAGUGCUCCGCCUGGGUAGUACGAUCGCAAGGUUGAAACUCAAAGGAAUUGACGGGGGCUCACACAAGCGGUGGAGCAUGUUGCUUAAUUCGAAGCAACGCGAAGAACCUUACCUGGGCUUGAACUGCAGGGAUUAGCUCUUUGAAAGGAGAGUGACGCCUUACGGUGGAACCUGUAGAGGUGUUGCAUGGCUGUCGUCAGCUCGUGCCGUGAGGUGUUAGGUUAAGUCCUUUAACGAGCGAAACCCUUGCCAUUAUUUACCAACGGAUCAUGCCGGGAACUAUAAUGGGACUGCCGGUGUUAAACCGGAGGAAGGUGGGGACGACGUCAAGUCAUCAUGGCCCUUAUGUCCAGGGCUGCAAACGUGCUACAAUGGCAUCUACAAAAUGUUGCGAAAUCGUGAGAUGGAGCUAAUCACCAAAAGAUGCCCCAGUUCGGAUUGCAGGCUGCAACUCGCCUGCAUGAAGUUGGAAUCGCUAGUAAUCGCGGGUCAGCUAUACCGCGGUGAAUACGUUCCUGAGCCUUGUACACACCGCCCGUCAAGCCACGAAAGCCGGGGGUACCCUAAGCCGCUGUUGUUAACCCGUAAGGGAUGCAGGCGUCCACGGUAAAACUGGUAAUUGGGACU